GGGUUGUGAGGUUAAGCGACUAAGCGUACACGGUGGAUGCCCUGGCAGUCAGAGGCGAUGAAGGACGUGCUAAUCUGCGAUAAGCGUCGGUAAGGUGAUAUGAACCGUUAUAACCGGCGAUUUCCGAAUGGGGAAACCCAGUGUGAUUCGUCACACUAUCAUUAACUGAAUCCAUAGGUUAAUGAGGCGAACCGGGGGAACUGAAACAUCUAAGUACCCCGAGGAAAAGAAAUCAACCGAGAUUCCCCCAGUAGCGGCGAGCGAACGGGGAGGAGCCCAGAGCCUGAAUCAGUGUGUGUGUUAGUGGAAGCGUCUGGAAAGGCGCGCGAUACAGGGUGACAGCCCCGUACACAAAAAUGCACAUGCUGUGAGCUCGAUGAGUAGGGCGGGACACGUGGUAUCCUGUCUGAAUAUGGGGGGACCAUCCUCCAAGGCUAAAUACUCCUGACUGACCGAUAGUGAACCAGUACCGUGAGGGAAAGGCGAAAAGAACCCCGGCGAGGGGAGUGAAAAAGAACCUGAAACCGUGUACGUACAAGCAGUGGGAGCACAGAGCAAUCUGUGUGACUGCGUACCUUUUGUAUAAUGGGUCAGCGACUUAUAUUCUGUAGCAAGGUUAACCGAAUAGGGGAGCCGAAGGGAAACCGAGUCUUAACCGGGCGUUAAGUUGCAGGGUAUAGACCCGAAACCCGGUGAUCUAGCCAUGGGCAGGUUGAAGGUUGGGUAACACUAACUGGAGGACCGAACCGACUAAUGUUGAAAAAUUAGCGGAUGACUUGUGGCUGGGGGUGAAAGGCCAAUCAAACCGGGAGAUAGCUGGUUCUCCCCGAAAGCUAUUUAGGUAGCGCCUCGUGAAUUCAUCUCCGGGGGUAGAGCACUGUUUCGGCAAGGGGGUCAUCCCGACUUACCAACCCGAUGCAAACUGCGAAUACCGGAGAAUGUUAUCACGGGAGACACACGGCGGGUGCUAACGUCCGUCGUGAAGAGGGAAACAACCCAGACCGCCAGCUAAGGUCCCAAAGUCAUGGUUAAGUGGGAAACGAUGUGGGAAGGCCCAGACAGCCAGGAUGUUGGCUUAGAAGCAGCCAUCAUUUAAAGAAAGCGUAAUAGCUCACUGGUCGAGUCGGCCUGCGCGGAAGAUGUAACGGGGCUAAACCAUGCACCGAAGCUGCGGCAGCGACACUGUGUGUUGUUGGGUAGGGGAGCGUUCUGUAAGCCUGUGAAGGUGUGCUGUGAGGCAUGCUGGAGGUAUCAGAAGUGCGAAUGCUGACAUAAGUAACGAUAAAGCGGGUGAAAAGCCCGCUCGCCGGAAGACCAAGGGUUCCUGUCCAACGUUAAUCGGGGCAGGGUGAGUCGACCCCUAAGGCGAGGCCGAAAGGCGUAGUCGAUGGGAAACAGGUUAAUAUUCCUGUACUUGGUGUUACUGCGAAGGGGGGACGGAGAAGGCUAUGUUGGCCGGGCGACGGUUGUCCCGGUUUAAGCGUGUAGGCUGGUUUUCCAGGCAAAUCCGGAAAAUCAAGGCUGAGGCGUGAUGACGAGGCACUACGGUGCUGAAGCAACAAAUGCCCUGCUUCCAGGAAAAGCCUCUAAGCAUCAGGUAACAUCAAAUCGUACCCCAAACCGACACAGGUGGUCAGGUAGAGAAUACCAAGGCGCUUGAGAGAACUCGGGUGAAGGAACUAGGCAAAAUGGUGCCGUAACUUCGGGAGAAGGCACGCUGAUAUGUAGGUGAAGUCCCUCGCGGAUGGAGCUGAAAUCAGUCGAAGAUACCAGCUGGCUGCAACUGUUUAUUAAAAACACAGCACUGUGCAAACACGAAAGUGGACGUAUACGGUGUGACGCCUGCCCGGUGCCGGAAGGUUAAUUGAUGGGGUCAGCGCAAGCGAAGCUCUUGAUCGAAGCCCCGGUAAACGGCGGCCGUAACUAUAACGGUCCUAAGGUAGCGAAAUUCCUUGUCGGGUAAGUUCCGACCUGCACGAAUGGCGUAAUGAUGGCCAGGCUGUCUCCACCCGAGACUCAGUGAAAUUGAACUCGCUGUGAAGAUGCAGUGUACCCGCGGCAAGACGGAAAGACCCCGUGAACCUUUACUAUAGCUUGACACUGAACAUUGAGCCUUGAUGUGUAGGAUAGGUGGGAGGCUUUGAAGUGUGGACGCCAGUCUGCAUGGAGCCGACCUUGAAAUACCACCCUUUAAUGUUUGAUGUUCUAACGUGGACCCGUGAUCCGGGUUGCGGACAGUGUCUGGUGGGUAGUUUGACUGGGGCGGUCUCCUCCUAAAGAGUAACGGAGGAGCACGAAGGUUGGCUAAUCCUGGUCGGACAUCAGGAGGUUAGUGCAAUGGCAUAAGCCAGCUUGACUGCGAGCGUGACGGCGCGAGCAGGUGCGAAAGCAGGUCAUAGUGAUCCGGUGGUUCUGAAUGGAAGGGCCAUCGCUCAACGGAUAAAAGGUACUCCGGGGAUAACAGGCUGAUACCGCCCAAGAGUUCAUAUCGACGGCGGUGUUUGGCACCUCGAUGUCGGCUCAUCACAUCCUGGGGCUGAAGUAGGUCCCAAGGGUAUGGCUGUUCGCCAUUUAAAGUGGUACGCGAGCUGGGUUUAGAACGUCGUGAGACAGUUCGGUCCCUAUCUGCCGUGGGCGCUGGAGAACUGAGGGGGGCUGCUCCUAGUACGAGAGGACCGGAGUGGACGCAUCACUGGUGUUCGGGUUGUCAUGCCAAUGGCACUGCCCGGUAGCUAAAUGCGGAAGAGAUAAGUGCUGAAAGCAUCUAAGCACGAAACUUGCCCCGAGAUGAGUUCUCCCUGACCCUUUAAGGGUCCUGAAGGAACGUUGAAGACGACGACGUUGAUAGG
rnacentral:rRNA from 1 species